rnacentral:rRNA from 1 species
UACGAUGCAGUCGAGCGGGGAAGGUAGCUUGCUACUGGACCUAGCGGCGGACGGGUGAGUAAUGCUUAGGAAUCUGCCUAUUAGUGGGGGACAACAUCUCGAAAGGGAUGCUAAUACCGCAUACGUCCUACGGGAGAAAGCAGGGGAUCUUCGGACCUUGCGCUAAUAGAUGAGCCUAAGUCGGAUUAGCUAGUUGGUGGGGUAAAGGCCUACCAAGGCGACGAUCUGUAGCGGGUCUGAGAGGAUGAUCCGCCACACUGGGACUGAGACACGGCCCAGACUCCUACGGGAGGCAGCAGUGGGGAAUAUUGGACAAUGGGGGGAACCCUGAUCCAGCCAUGCCGCGUGUGUGAAGAAGGCCUUAUGGUUGUAAAGCACUUUAAGCGAGGAGGAGGCUACUUUAGUUAAUACCUAGGGAUAGUGGACGUUACUCGCAAAAUAAGCACCGGCUAACUCUGUGCCAGCAGCCGCGGUAAUACAGAGGGUGCGAGCGUUAAUCGGAUUUACUGGGCGUAAAGCGUGCGUAGGCGGCUUAUUAAGUCGGAUGUGAAAUCCCCGAGCUUAACUUGGGAAUUGCAUUCGAUACUGGUGAGCUAGAGUAUGGGAGAGGAUGGUAGAAUUCCAGGUGUAGCGGUGAAAUGCGUAGAGAUCUGGAGGAAUACCGAUGGCGAAGGCAGCCAUCUGGCCUUAUACUGACGCUGAGGUACGAAAGCAUGGGGAGCAAACAGGAUUAGAUACCCUGGUAGUCCAUGCCGUAAA